AGAUGUUUUGGGACUACAGCUCCCAUCAUCCCUAGCUGGUCAGGAGUGAUGGGAAUUGUAGUCCCAAAACAUCU